AGAUGUCUUAGAAUGUUGGAUUUUUCUUGGUCCCCAUGUUUGCUACCAUGUGUUAAUAUCCAACACUUAGUUGCACAAUCUUUCUCAAUAGGUGCCACUCCUGUUCCGAGUCAUGCUUUGUAUGCACACUCCUGCUCUAAUUUCCUAGAAGUUGAUACUUGGUAACAUUUUGAAGUAUGUGCUUCCACGCUCGCACACCUGAAUUUGUUGCCCCUGGCUGUCCUCAUGCAACCAUAGUCCAACACCUAUACGUGUUUGUGACCAGGUUGCACAAACAGGAAAUGAUGUGAAACAUGUUCUUGUCUUUCUGUAAAUGACUGUCAUUGCCUUGCAGGAUGGAGCAAUUUGCAUCUUAGUUGGCCGAUCCGCUAUAAUAUUUUCUUGGGGACAGCAAGAGGUCUGACUUAUCUUCACGAGGAGUCGAGACCCCAUAUCACACAGGGAUGUCAAGGCCAAUAAUAUUCUGAUCGAUGCAGAUCUCAAUCCAAAAAUUUCAGAUUUUGGUCUGGCCAAGCUGUAUGAUGAGAACGAGACCCACAUUAGGACACACGUCGCAGGGAUGACGUAAGCACUGGUGGACCCUUUCCUUGAUUUGAUCCACUACAAAAGCAGUACCAUACAUGUAAUCCAAUCCAGACCACCCAAAUCACACACCCUAAUGUGGUGAAAGCAAAACUUAGUUAAAUUGUGCCCUAAAAAUCGACAUGUCAUUGAAAGUUACAAGAUAAUUGCCAUAUUGCUGUUGUAGAACACUGUAGAAAGUUAUGUGAAGGCUCUCCAUGUAAAAUUAUUUCAUUGUAACAGUUCUGCGGAUGACAUGUCUGUCAAUUCAAAAUCAUGUCGUUUGAGACUAUGGGUGGCCCUUGAUUGAGUGGAAUGGUGGAACAGGAUUCAUGUAGCCAACCCUAAUUAAUUGGGAUGAGGCUUUGUCAUAUGAUAUCAUGGAUUAUUGUAAAUUUAAAAUCACAUAAUUUCUUUGUUAUGUCUCUAAGCAUACCUAUACAUGCAUACCAGCGUCUACUAGCAUAUCUAGCUAUCCAAGAAUUUGGCUUGAACCAAGAGGCUUAACGGGUAGUUGCCACUUCAGUUUUUGAUGGUUUGCUUUUCAAUUUUUACAAGGACGUGGAACUGUUGUCACAGCCUGUGUUGAACAAGGGACUAUUAAAGUUAGAGAAGAUGUAGAGAUUUUAGAUUUAAUGCAGGUUUGGGCCAAAAUUCCAUUUCUCAAAUUAUUUCACCAUUUUGAAGCAGGUCUGCUGAUUUUCUUGCACCUCUGUUUGGUUGUUUUCAAGUUGGACAAGUACAGGCAACUUGUACUGCAAAGGAACUAUGUGAAAUUUUUGGUAGUUUUCACUUGUCCUUUACUUUGCAUUGUGACUAAAAAAUUAGUUUGUUUAACUAUCAGGUAGGCCACAUGUACAAAAAAAAGGAUGGUAUAGAGAGAGCUUGCAAGUUUUUUAAGAUUGUCCAUUUGUUUUCUUACAUGUGUCCUAUGAUUAAACAACCUGAUUUUUUGGCCAAAUUAUCUACUGCCAGGUAGUUCCCACCCAAUACAUGAUUUGGAUGUUUAAUUAACAUGGGAAGGUGGCACUUGUCAAUGCAUGUGGAGGGGCAUGCUUGUGGAGCUAUAUAUCUCUUUGGAGAAAUGCAACAAGAAAGGGUUGAAGAGGAUGAAUAUAGAAAAUAAGACAUGUCAGUAUUGGAAAUUCAUAAUGAUAUGUCCUGCUUGGAGCAAAUCAAUAUCAUAAGUACAACCUGAAAAAGCAACCUAGUUGAAUCCUUGGAGGAGCUUGCACCUGCUUGCACAUUAGAUGUGAAUUUUCCUCCAUGAUGCAGUUCAAAUAUAUGCAGUUCAAAAUGAAGAAUCAUAAAAUUGCCCAAUGUUGGGUGCUACAGAGUUUCUUCAGAAACCUCUAUCUGGAGACAAACUAAGAAACAUAUGGUAGCACGUGGUUCAUAAGG